UAUUACGUUGGUGCAAAAGUUAUUGAGGUUUUUACCGUUACUUUAAAUGGCAAAAAUCACAAUUACUGUUGCACCAACAUAAUAC
rnacentral:miRNA from 10 species